GUCCUGGCUUUGGAAGCACACAUAUAGUUGGAGCAAAACAGAGAAGAUUAGCAUGGCUCCUGCGCCAGGACGACAUGCAAAUUCGUGAAGCGUUCCACUAAAAA
rnacentral:snRNA from 1 species